rnacentral:ncRNA from 1 species
GAGUUUGAUCCUGGCUCAGAAUAAAUGCUAUCGGUAUGCUUAACACAUGCAAGUUGAAUGUUUUUAAAACAUGGCGAACGGGUGAGUAACACGUGAAUUAUCUACCUUUUAAUUCGGAAUAAUUAUUUAUAUAAAAAUUCGGAAUAAAUAUAUUAAAGUUUUUUAACGUUAAAAGAUGAGUUUGCGCAAGAUUAUGGUAGUUGGUAGUUUAAAAGACUACCAAGCCUAUUAUCUUUAGCUGGUUUGAAAGAAUGAUCAGCCACAUUGGGACUGAGACACGGCCCAAACUUUUUUAAAGGCAGCAGUGGGGAAUUUUGGACAAUGAGCGAAAGCUUGAUCCAGCAAUACCGAGUGAGUGAUGACGGCUAAUUAGGUUGUAAAGCUCUUUCAUUAAGGAGGAAAAUGACAGUACUUAAAAAAGAAGUUCCGGCUAAUACCCGUGCCAGCAGCCGCGGUAAUACGGGAGGAGCGAGCAUUAUUCGGAAUGAUUAGGCGUAAAGGGUUUGUAAGGUGGUUUUUUAAGUUGAAAGAAACAAAUUAAAGCUCAACUUUAUACAUUUUUUCAAAACUAAUAAACUGGAGUAUAAAUAGAGGAUAAUGGAAUUUCUAUUGGAGUGAUAAAAUACGUUGAUAAUAGAAGGAAGAUCUAUGGCGAAGGCAAUUAUCUGGGUAUNUACUGACACUGAGAAACGAAAGCUUGGGUAGCGAACGGGAUUAGAUACCCCGGUAGUCCAUGCUGUAAACGAUGAGUGCUAAUAUUUAGAAUUUUUAGAUAUAACAGCUAACGCGUUAAGCACUCCGCC